CACACUUAACUUGAUCAUCUAACUAGACUCUAUGCUUCACUCACCUCUCUAGACUAUGUCCAAAUAGUCUCACAAUACCUCGAUAUGAGGUCACACAACGUCUAUCCUAUAUAAAACUUAAAACUAUAAUCUAUAUUCAAAUUCCAAUAACUUGUAACCUGUUGCUCUGAUACCAACUGUGACAGUCCGAGAAUCCGGGGGUCUGGAUUCUGACGUCACCACAUAAAACCCAUUUUUAAACACCUUUGAAAACCUGUAUUUUUUUUCUAAAGAUAAUGAAAUCAAAGAAUUUAAAACCUGAAAACAUUUAAUAUAAGAUUUGAAUGAGAACAUAAAUCGAAUGAUUUCAAAACCUGAAUUUCAAACUUGAAAACCAUAAUAAAAGAAUUUCAAGAGAACAUUUAAACUUUAAUAAAUGAUUCGAAGGAGAACAUUUAAACCCCCUAAAAGCAACAGGAUCGCAUCCAGGUUACAGUAUUGAAAUUAGAAUCUACCGCUAUUAUUACACAACAUCUCUUACCAAAUCAGAUCAUCUUCGAUAAGAAGAAUCACUGUCAACUAUUUCAGCUUGCACCAACCUUAUCAACUUUCCUGAACACUUCUCGACCACUGGAUCCUCAACUCUGUCUCCUCGCCUAGCAUUAGCCUUACUCACAAUCUCAAUCAAUCAUCUCAUCUUUAAGCCUUUCUGAAAUGGUUAAAAGAGAAUAGCAAGAGUGAGCAACAAUGCUCAGCAAGUAAUAAUAAACAAUGAUAAUUCUGAAAUGAUAUAACAGAAAUUCACGAGUUCAAGAUAUAAAAGGAUUCAACCUGAGUUCAUGAGUUCAUGGUAUUGUAUAGAAUGAUUUACAAUACCUUGCAGCAUUUAAACUGAGAAAUUCAAUCUUUCCAAAGAAUUAUUGAAUUGGACUAUCACAUUUUAAUUAAAACCAAGGUUAGGCAGCUGAUCAGUUCCGCACUAACCCCGAGCAGGCCCCGCCAUGCUCUAUCACUGGAUCCAAGGCACUCAUUGGCCUAACAUGACCACGAAUCUGGUCCACAGGUUUAUAUAAAAACAAUAAUCCAAUUCUCUAAUUCAAUUCAAGAAGCCAAUGUAAAUUAACAGAACAUCAUCAUAAAUAUCAUCAACAACAGAAUAAUUCCAAUUCAAACUUUGAUAAUAAUCUAUUCAUAAAUCAUGAUCCAUCAUUUCAUAAAUCACAGUUCAGGAAAUCCUCAACUAUUCAGUAUCCUCCAUUAUCGGCUAAGCAACUGAAUUUAGCCUGCUAAACCAGCAUGACAAUGGCGGGUUGAAUAAUCAAGAAGAUCCCAAUUCAUUCAAAGCUCUAACUAUCACUGAGCAACACAUGCUUCAAUGACAAUCUGAACUUCGAAUUAAUUUGUAAAACGGAAAUUCUUUAGAAACUUGAAGAUUAGAAAGAAUGGGUCAGAAUACUCGCACUUUCGAACAUUGAAAAGAAAGGUAUGAAUACUUGAAACAUAUACCAAAGGAAUGGAUCAGAAUAUUUGCAAUAUAUCCAAGAGAAAGGUUUAGGAUACUUGCAACACAUAUAGAAAAGAAUGGAUCAGAAUAUGCAAUAUAUCCAAAAGAAGGGUGUAGGAUACUUGCCUUAAAUCUGACUCCAGUCUCACAUCUCAAUCUCAUCUUUCCACUUUCACAAUCUAUGCAUCUCGUAAUCUCUAGACCAUCUCUAGCUAUACUCUAUUCGCCACUUCGCUUCGCUUACUCAAUCAUCCCUUAUUCGCUUUGCAAUACCAUUCCGACUUUCUGACGUCUUCGAGCGUACACGUCUCGUCCAAAUCCUUUACGAGAAUAAGAUAAUGCUAUAGUCACUAAGCAAUAUAUCGCAUAUACAUAUCACGUAUAUCGAUACCCACUUAUAUACCCCUUUAAACCUAUCACAUACCACGUAACACAUAAGCAUGCUUUGACUCUUACAUAUAGUCAAUCAUAUUCCACAUAACAUAUCACCAAUCAAUUAUCAUAUGAAUCCUAUCGAAAAUCCGACAUCGUCUCGUCUAUUUAUUAGACUAUCCACCUGUUAUCCUAUCUCAAUCAACAAUCAACCAACAAGAUCCAAUCACUAUAAUCCAUAUAUUCUUAUCCAAUAUCAAUCAACUCACGACACUAUGUCAUCCAAAUCAUUUAUCACACGCAUAUACUAUCAUGAAUAAACAUGUAUAUCACGUAGUCAUUAGUUAAUAGCAACCAAAUAACAUAUAAUCACAUUUUGCACAUUUAACAAAAAUUAUUCAGAUUCUCGACUCCAUCAUAAUAUUAUGUCAUAUCAAACUAGACUUUAUAAGCUUCUGUCUCUCUUUCGUUUCACUUGAUUCCGACUUACGGAUCAAAAGUUAUGAUCAAAACCGUUUUCUAACUCCUCUAUCGGCACAUAACACAUCAAACAGAUAGCAGACAACACAUUACACAUAAGGUUUCCCACCCCAAUUGAUAUCAAAUCAACUCUUGGGUUAAAAAUGAUUUUUCGGGAAUUUUCUGGAAUUUUUAAACAUUUUUCGGAAUUAAAAUCGAUAAAAGAAUCACUUUUCGGAUAAAUAAUCAAGUCCCAAAUACUUGAAAUUGGACUUGAAAUCAUUCAUAAACAAUUAUCGAGCCUUGAAAAUAAUUUGGAAAAAUAUUUUAAAGCUCGAAACUAUUUUUCGGAAUUUUUAAAUCAAAAAGGAUUAAUUAAAUCCAAUUAAUUAACCAAUUAAAAUCAAUUAAUAAUUAAUUAAAAUAAUUAAUCAAUUAAUAUUUAAAUUAAUUGACCAAUUAAAAUAAUUAAUUACUAAUUAAAAUUAAUUAAUAAACUAAUUUAGAUUUUUUUUUUUGAAUAAAUAAAUAAUUAAAAACUAUUUUUGGAAUUUAAAAUAAUUAAAUAAAACAAUUUUAGAAAAUUAAAUCAAAAGGUUUAUUUUGUAAACUUUUGAAAGUUUUGUCCAGGGUUUAAAGUGCAAUUUUUCAAAGUUACAGGGGGUAAUUCACAAGUUUCAAAACCUGAGUACAAAAACUUCAUCAUCUUCAAAACUUCGGUGACCAAACAGCAAUAAGCCGCCGGCCACCACACUAACUCGCCGGAAAUUCGUUUCCAGGCGUCCUCCACUCACCAUCUACUCCAGAUCAGUAGUACACACACCCAUAAAUCAAUCCCCCAUCUUUAAUUAGGCAGAAGUCGCGCGAAUUCGCCGGAAAAUCCGGCCGAAGUCGGCGACUUCCCGCCGCCGAUGGCGGCGAUUCGAGCCACCUCCGCUCAAACCAAGCACACCAGCAUACUCCCCUUUCUCUCCUCCUUCUAUUCAUAUAUUCCACUACUUCCCAGACUUAACGGAUCAAAAUUCCGGCGAAGAGCUUGAGUUUUCCGACGAGGAACCUCAAGAACACCAAGAACACUCAACUCAAGAAUUAAACCACUGUUUCUAUAUGAUUCCGAACCCCAAAUUCAACAUAUAAUAUACCAAAACGACGAGAAAAACACGUACUACAACAUGGUAUCAUCAAAAUAAUCAAACAAUCACGUUUGCAAAAAUUCAUAUUUCAAAUCAAUAUAACUCGAAUUUUCAACAAUUAAUAGUAAUUUACCUGUUGAAUCUGCACACAAACGAAUGAUUAAACUAUAAUCUACACGUCGAUAGCUUCGUUUUGACUAUUCAUACGCCUCCAUCGGAUUCCAAUAACACCUUCAAAUCUUCGUUUGAUUAUGAAGAACACGAAGAACACCGCUCGGUUUCUCUCGGUAUUCGUGCAAAGAAACUGGUGAAAUGAUUUUACGGGUGAAAAUAAGCUCUAGAAAGGUCUAUUUAUAUUUACAAAUAAUUGGUACCCCUUUGGAUCGU
rnacentral:lncRNA from 1 species